rnacentral:rRNA from 1 species
AUUGAACGCUGGCGGCAGGCCUAACACAUGCAAGUCGAGCGAGCGGCGGACGGGUGAGUAAUGUAUGGGGUUCUGCCCGUUAGAGGGGGAUACCUACUGGAACGGGUGGCUAAUACCGCAUACUUUCGGAUGAACCAUUAUGGGAUUAGCUAGUAGGUGGGUGAAAGGACCACCGAGGCGACGAUCUCUAGCUGGUCUGAGAGGAUGACCAGCCACACUGGGACUGAGACACGGCCCAGACUCCUACGGGAGGCAGCAGUGGGGAAUAUUGCACAAUGGGCGCAAGCCUGAUGCAGCCAUGCCGCGUGUAUGAAGAAGGCCUUAGGGUUGUAAAGUACUUUCAGCGGGGAGGCGUUACCCGCAGAAGAAGCACCGGCUAACUCCGUGCCAGCAGCCGCGGUAAUUC